UAAUUUUAUAAUAAGGCAGGUUUAUUCAAGUGUAAAAAUAUUAGGCAAAGCGUGCAGCACGGCUCCCUCUGUCUGAUCCGUAAGGGAUCGUCAGGAAGAGAGAGCGUUUACACAGUUGUACAGUUAUAUAUGGGCAACAAGCAAAGUAGGUUGAUCUGGUAGUCUGGCCUUCCGAUUGGUCUAUCUGGGUCUUGGGUAGUCCUGAACAGGCCUGGUGUCCACGUUCCAUUGGUUCCUGACAUAGUUCUUUGUCUGGAGCUCCAACCCUGAGUUGUGAGUGUCUGAGUGAUUGUCAUGGGGGAGGGAAGUUGUGGGUGUCGUGCAUGUGUCCAAUGAGUCCAGCAUAUGUCCAAUAGAAAGAGGGAGUGUGUAUAUUGUGUCAACCAUAGCUAAUGUUUGAGAAGUUGUUAAAACAAGUUACCAAUAUCUAAUACAAUUCCUUACAGUCUUUCCGAUAAUGAAUAUUUCGCUCCAGGCAAGUGGCAGUGCUGGCACCGGCAAAGAGACUGCUGUUGCCUUGGCGAUGCGAGGUGCCCAACAUAGCGUGCCAUGACGUGGACAAGGCUGAGAAGGCAGUGAGUGAGAUCAAGAUGAGGGGUCACAACAUUAAUGUCCUUCACGUGGAGCUGGACCUGGACAACAUGCGCUCCAUGAGGGAGUUCUGUUAGACCUUCCUACAGACGGAGAAGAGACUGGGCAUACUCAUCAAUAACGCAGACGGGCGUCUCAGACCAUGGUUUACUGCGCCGUGUCGGACGAGGCCGCCAAGCACAGCAGGGGAUACUUCACUGACUGCCGGCCCGCCACGCUGAGGCCGUUCGCCAGGGACGCCGCUGUGGCCAAGAAACUGCAGGAGGCCAGCAAGAGGCUGGUCAAACUGGCCGGAGAAACUGGAAUGAUUAAAUUAAACUGAAGCUUUGCGAGCAAACAAUGUGUGGGAAUCUCAUAUUUUGGUCAAACAAGCCCCCCCAAAAAAUUGUUUUUGUUUUGUUCUUAAUAAUUCAUCGUUUUUUAAUAACUAUUUGUCUGUGGGGGACUUUAUAGUGAAUGAUGUCAGGGUUUUUUUUAUGGAUGGAGAAUGGAUUGUUGAACAUUUUAUGAUUUGCCCUUGGAUUGCUGACCUCAAACACUUGAAUGAAUGAUGACAUGUAAAACAUGGCUGCUUUUUCUUCUGUUGUAAAUAUCCUCUGAAAAUAAAAUCUGCUUCAAUACA